UCUAUGUAGACGAAUAUUUUAAUCGAUGUAUUUAGUACUUUCUGUUAAGUUUGAUAUAAGCGAAGAAAAUAUUUUUGGUUAACAAUGAUGUUCAAUAAUUCGUCCGUACAAUGCAAGGAAUUAAGUGUUGUUCCUUUUUGCUACAUAAAUUACUCAGCAACAUUAUUUGCUGAUAGGUCACUGAGGCCCACCCACUCUGAAUCACAAAAUAUCGGUGUAUACGCGAGAUUUUAACAUGGAAAAUAGAUUGAAGCUGAGAAAAAAAAAUCUCAAUUUUAUCUAGACAGACGUGAAGAAAUUUCACAAAUCGACAAAGCGGCACAUCACUAGUCAUCACAUCAAUGAUAACAAUUUUAUAAAUUUUCUUUGAGAUUUUUUUUCCAUGUGAUAGCAAAAUUUAAAAAUAAUUUUCCAACUUAAAUUAAUUUGAAACGUGUAAAAGACCAGAAAGUGUUUGCGUUAAUAUAUUCGAAGUUACCAUGUUAUAGCAAAGGCUCAUGAUACCAACUCAAUUCAUUACAUAAAAUGAGUCUAAUGCUGCACUUCCUUACUCACUAAAGUCUUUUGAAGUUCUAAAAUUGCUGACAGGCAACAAUACAGAAGGAAAGCGUCCUUGUAAAAAGGAUCUUUCUUCUAAGAUAUUGAAAAAAAAACUAUCCAGUCUGGUUCGAACCCACAGUCCGACAUAUGGUUAUAAAGUUGAUUUUCAGUUCAAAAUUAAAUGUAAUUUCGAUUCAUGUUCACCCAAAGAUUCAUUAAAGCAUACAAACCGAAAACAUUUACAGUUCACUUAACAUUUUCAUACAUUAAAAGUGAGGGUUGCGAAAAUGACCGCUGGCUUCUAUUCUACCUGUAAAUGUCUAACAAAAUUUAGGCUAAAAUUAUCGCAUACUAGACAUAUAUACCAUAAAACAGAAUCAUUUACCUGUCGUUUUGAGAUAAAUGCACACUGUGCACAGGGAUCGAACGGAUGCACAAAAUAAAUCAAUUUCUUAACAGAGCUUCUUUCCCAUACCCUCGCUAAUAUUUACGUACGUCACGUGAGAGAGGGGCCGAGACGGAGACAACAUUUCGACCUCAGGAGCUAGUGGCAGCCUGAGAGCUUUGAACAGAUUCUAGUUUUUCCCUAAAGAUGUGGAAAUAAAUAAAAAAAACAAACGAACGAACAACAACAGUUUUAAGGUAAUUUCGUUUAGUGCUUGUGUACUUGACGUUUCAUAAUUAGCAACCACAUAACGCGUACAAUCGUAAGCCUGGUUCUGCCUUUUGAUUCAAAUAUUUUCAACAUAUAGAUGCAAAAUCUGUUGCUUCAUGAGACUGAACACUGAACAUGUUCUUUGCUAUUGAGACCACACAGUAGACAGUCGUGAUUAUUUAUUUUAAUGUGUAGGCAUCCUGUACGUUGUAUUUACAUUGUCUGCGAUGAGAAUGUAAAUGAAACUUACAUGUUAGGUUUUUCGAUGAUUUACAUGCUAUGCGCGAUCAUUUACAUGCGCUGGUCGGUCAUUUUUCGAUGAUUUUGUUUAUGUUUUCACUUCACACAAACCACGAUAUAAAUUGGAAUCUACACAGGCAGAACUAUUUUUUGGUACACGUGCCAUCGAUACAAUUAAGAAAACACUAAAAUCACAACUGAAUUUAUAAUUUGAAACAACAAAAUCAAAAAAUUUUCACUGAAACUAAGAAUGACAACAAUAAAGAAGUCAAAUAAAUAUCACCGAAAUGGCAGGCACGACCGAUGCCUACUAAAUGAAAAUGAAAUGUUAGUGCAAAAUGUUUAGAAGUGGAAAGGAUCCAAAAUGCUGUUUUAUGCAAAAUUGUUUCGUAGUUUUCAUCUUAGACAAUGUAAAUACAACGCACAGGAUGCCUACACAUUAAA